rnacentral:rRNA from 1 species
UGGGGAAUAUUGGACAAUGGGCGCAAGCCUGAUCCAGCCAUGCCGCGCGAGUGAUGAAGGCCCUAGGGUUGUAAAGCUCUUUCAGCGAGGAGGAUAAUGACGUUACUCGCAGAAGAAGCCCCGGCUAACUUCGUGCCAGCAGCCGCGGUAAUACGAAGGGGGCUAGCGUUGUUCGGAAUCACUGGGCGUAAAGCGCACGUAGGCGGACUUUUAAGUCAGGGGUGAAAUCCCGGGGCUCAACCUCGGAACUGCCUUUGAUACUGGAAGUCUGGAGUCCGAGAGAGGUGAGUGGAACUCCGAGUGUAGAGGUGAAAUUCGUAGAUAUUCGGAAGAACACCAGUGGCGAAGGCGGCUCACUGGCUCGGUACUGACGCUGAGUGCGAACCGCGUGGGUGAGCAAACAGGAUUAGAUACCCUGGUAGUCCACGCCGUAACGAUGGAAGCUAGCCGUACAGGGUGCAUGCAUCUUGGUGGCGCAGUUAACGCAUUAAGCUUCCCGCCUGGGGAGUACGGUCGCAAGAUUAAAACUCAAAUGAAUUGACGGGGUCAUAGCUGUUUCCU